rnacentral:rRNA from 1 species
AUACGGAGGAUGCGAGCGUUAUCCGGAUUUAUUGGGUUUAAAGGGAGCGUAGGCGGGAGCUUAAGUCAGCGGUUAAAUGGUGCGGCUCAACCGUGCCCUGCCGUUGAAACUGGGUUUCUUGAGAGUGCAAGAGGCGGAUGGAAUUCAUGGUGUAGCGGUGAAAUGCUUAGAUAUCAUGAAGAACUCCGAUUGCGAAGGCAGUCCGCUGGGGCACGUCUGACGCUGAUGCUCGAAGGUGCGGGAAUCAAACAGGAUUAGAUACCCUGGUAGUCCGCACGGUAAACGAUGAUUACCCGCUGUCGGCGGCAGACAGUCGGCGGCCAAGCGAAAGCGAUAAGUAAUCCACCUGGGGAGUACGCCGGCAACGGUGAAACUCAAAGGAAUUGACGGGG